AUUGCGANUGGGCGAAGCCUGACGCAGCAANUCCNCGUGGGANACGAAGCUCUUUGGAGUUCCAAGCCCUGUNAGNGGGAAAGAAACGGCCACGCAGGUAAUGGCGUGGCCCUGACNUUNCCCGCAGAGGAAGUUCCGGCUAACUCCGUGCCAGCAGCCGCGGUAACACGGGGGGAACGAGCGUUGUUCGGAUUUACUGGGCGUAAAGGGUGCGUAGGCGGGCUGGUAAGUCGGAUGUGAAAUCUCACGGCUCAACUGUGAGCGGCCAUUCGAAACUGCCAGUCUUGAGUACGGGAGAGGAAAGUGGAAUUCCUGGUGUANCGGUGAAAUGCGUAGAUAUCAGGAGGAACACCGGUGGCGAAGGCGGCUUUCUGGACCGAUACUGACGCUGAGGCACGAAGGCCGGGGGAGCAAACAGGAUUAGAUACCCUGGUAGUCCCGGCGGUAAACGAUGGGCACUANGUGUCAGGGGUAUCGACCCCCUUGGUGCCGCCANUUAACACAUUACGUGCCCCGNCUGGNGAGUACGACCGCNAGGUUGAAACUCAANANAANUGACGGA
rnacentral:rRNA from 1 species